AUGAAUUUGUCUAUCCAACUGAUGGAUGUUGUGACUGCAUAUUUAUAUGGGUCACUGGAUUCAGAUAUUUACAUGAAAGUUCCUGAGGGAAUGAAGCUUCCGAAUCCAAAGGCUAAUCGCAACAUCUAUUGCGUAAAGCUUCAGAAGUCAUUGUAUGGUUUGAAGCAGUCGGGAAGAAUGUGGUAUAACCGAUUGAGUAUAUUCCUUCUUCAGAAGGGUUACUCAAAUAAUAAUGAUUGCCCAUGUGUGUUUAUUAAGAAAUCUAAGAAUGGAUUUUGCAUUAUUUCUGUGUAUGUGGAUGAUCUGAAUAUCAUUGGGACUACACAAGAAAUACAUGAGGCAAGUAAUCAUCUUAAGACGGAGUUUGAGAUGAAAGAUCUGGGUAAGACUAAAUUUUGUUUGGGCUUACAACUUUAA
rnacentral:rRNA from 1 species